AGUAAUAUGCCUGAUAAAAAGGAUUAUUUUGAUAAAAUACUUAUGUAAAAAUUUACUGUUACUA
rnacentral:tRNA from 1 species